rnacentral:rRNA from 1 species
AGAUUGAACGCUGGCGGCGUGCCUAACACAUGCAAGUCGAGCGGUAACAGGUGUAGCAAUACAUGCUGACGAGCGGCGAACGGGUGAGUAAUGCUUUGGAAUCUUCCCAGUAGUGGGGAAUAACCAGUCGAAAGAUUGGCUAAUACCGCAUACGUCUGUAAAGGGAAAGCGGGGGCUCGUAAGACCUCGCGCUAUUGGAUGAGCCAAAGUCGGAUUAGCUAGUUGGUGGGGUAAUGGCCUACCAAGGCGACAAUCCGUAGCUGGUCUGAGAGGACGACCAGCCACACCGGAACUGAGACACGGUCCGGACUCCUACGGGAGGCAGCAGUGGGGGAAUAUUGGACAAUGGGGGAAACCCUGAUCCAGCGACGCCGCGUGUGUGAAGAGGCCUGCGGGUUGUAAAGCACUUUUAGUGGGGACAAAAGCUACGGAUUAAUACUCUGUGGUCUUGAUUUAACCCAAGAAAAAGCACCGGCUAACUCUGUGCCAGCAGCCGCGGUAA